GAUGAACGCUGGCGGCGCGCCUAACACAUGCAAGUCGAACGGGGUCUUUUAGGAAGCUUGCUUCCUGGCUGACCUAGUGGCGGACGGGUGAGUAACACGUGAGCAACCUGCCGAAGAGUGGGGGAUAACGUUUGGAAACGAACGCUAAUACCGCAUAACAUCGGGGAAAGGCAUCUUUUUCCGAUCAAAGGAGCAAUCCGCUUUUUGAUGGGCUCGCGCCCGAUUAGAUAGUUGGUGAGGUAACGGCUCACCAAGUCGACGAUCGGUAGCCGGACUGAGAGGUUGAACGGCCACAUUGGGACUGAGACACGGCCCAGACUCCUACGGGAGGCAGCAGUGGGGAAUAUUGCGCAAUGGGGGAAACCCUGACGCAGCAACGCCGCGUGAUUGAAGAAGGCCUUCGGGUUGUAAAGAUCUUUAAUCAGGGACGAAGGAAGUGACGGUACCUGAAGAAUAAGCUCCGGCUAACUACGUGCCAGCCGCCGCAGUAACAC
rnacentral:rRNA from 1 species